GCUUAUGACCAAAUCACCUGGAAUGUGCCCAAUCUCGUCAGAUCUCAGAAGCUAAGCAGUUUGGGCAUGGAUUGUGCUUGGAUGGGUGACCACAAUCCAUGCUAGGUUGUCAUAGGCA
rnacentral:rRNA from 1 species